rnacentral:rRNA from 1 species
AACGAACGCUGGCGGCAUGCUUAACACAUGCAAGUCGAACGGGAACUUGGGGCUUGCUCCAGGGGAUAGUGGCGCACGGGUGAAUAACGCGUAGGUAAUGUUCCUAUUGGCUCGGGAUAACCUGCCGAAAGGCGGGCUAAUACCGUAUAAGUUCCCUUGGAGCUCGCUCCGGGGGAAGAAAGCAGGGCAACUUGCACCGAUAGAUCAGCCUGCGUCCCAUCAGCUAGUUGGUGAGGUAACGGCUCACCAAGGCUACGACGGGUAGCUGGUCUGAGAGGAUGAUCAGCCACACUGGGACUGAGACACGGCCCAGACACCUACGGGAGGCAG